AAUUAGCUUUAUUAGCAUUGAAAUUUAAAACAUCACAACAUGACACAAAAGAAAAGUAAUGGCAAAAAUUAGAAUAAAGACUUGCUCCAAACAAAUUAAAUUUUACCUUAUUGUAACCCCUUAUAUAUAUUUAUAUUUUCUAUUUAGUUUUGUGACUAUUAUUGAUUGUUUACCUCUUUUUUGACCUAUUUAGAUUCAAGCUAAUAAAGUUAAUUGACCCUUACUUGGCUAAUAUGUGUAUAACAUUUCUUUUCACCUAUUUAUUCAAUUUGUUUCUAAUUGGCUUAUUUGAUGUAAGAAUAACUUUAAAUUUGAAUACAAUUCUUCCAAAUGAUAACCCUUUGAAAUACCU